rnacentral:sRNA from 1 species
UCAGUGAUGAUAUGAUGCUAAAGUGAUGACAAAUGGAUGCUCAAAACAUGCAAAAUACACAUUUAUCAACUCCCCCAAACUUAGUCUUUGCUUGCCCUCAAGCAAACAAUCAAGAACAAGCUGGAAGUAAGGUUUGAAAGCGGGGAUUCAGAGCCAAAGAACCAGAUAGACCAGAUGAAAUCAAUGUCCAAGUUGAAAGUUCUAAGCUGCAAGAUCAAAUUCUACUUAAAGACGUUAGCCAUGCCUCAUUAUCAAUCAAUCCGACUCAUAUGCUCGACCCACACAUGUUUUCAAAUCUACCAAUCCCUUUAACAUUCAUUAGUUCUGGAACGUGAAUCAAACAAUGCAUCAUCAAUGAACUCAUUUGGCUAAGGUAAAAGGUCAAGAGACAAAGAUGGUCCCUUACAGAAUAGGCUUCAGUAACAGGGGAUCUCUCAAAAAAUGAUUAAGCUUUAAUAGAAUGCUAAAGGUAAGUCCCAAGCUAUGCAUACUGAGAUAAGAUCCCAUCUA